GAGGAGUUUUCCUCGCUGUUGUUGAGUGCAGACAUGAUUCUCUGUACUGAUGUAAGAGGCAGAAAUAAAUGAUGUAAAUAGUUUUCUGUCUGCUUCUUUCCCCUCCCUGGGGACACCAAAGGGAGAGAGGAAGAACGGUGUGUUCCUCUCAUACAUCUGAGAAGAAUCGCCGGACCUCGCCUGCUUAUCAGCAGAGGUUGGGAGACGCGGGGAGGUCGACAGGAAUAUCUGCCGGUGCCUACGCUUGUGGCACAUUCCUCUGACCCAGGCAGAAUUCCAACAGUGGCAGCCUUCGGAUGGUUGCGAUUCAUCAGACAUCUGCAUGAGAGGCUGGUGGAUUGUCCUCCUCUGCUCCAAGGAGGAAGAGAAGCGUCUGAGAACAGCCAGAGGCUCCACAGACCGCUGGUGGAAAGAAGAGGUGUUUUCCAGAGCAACAAAGUUCAAGGUAUGCUGCAUUUCGGGCUAAAAGUGUGAACGCAGGAAGAUUAAUUCCCUGGUUCACGGAGCUGCGUUUCAGAGAAAACAAAAGCUCCGGGAGAAGAGGCCUGCAGCUUGAAGGCUGAAGCCUGCAUUCCACAAAUUUUUGUGGUAGAUAAGAUGUCUUACUGAAAUGCAUUGUUGCUAGGUAACGGAAAGUUACUGGCAAAGGGGCUGGACUAUGAGUGUGAGCCUGGGAAAGCGAAACAAAACCAGAGAAUGUUUUGGCUACAAGGUUUACGAGCUCUUGGAAGGGACUUUUCAAUAGCAGCCUGAGUUUAGCUGCCAGGUGCAAAGAGCGUAAACAAUUUGCAGUUUGCUGCGUGAGAAAGGAAAAAAACAACUGUUGGAUUUUACAGUUUGUUUGAGAGUGUGGGCUGGAAAGCUGAAGAGGCUUGGCUUCAAGAUGGAUGCCAAGAAAGGAGCUUUGCCUUGCCCUCCUUCCUUAACCAAUGCAAAUUAUUCAUCUUGGUCUGUAAAGAUGAAGGCCCUGCUGCAGAAUCAGAGGCUUUUUGAUGUAAUUGAAAACCCCAUCCCUGCAGCACCAACCAGAGGUUGGGAGUCACAGAAUGUAAGGGCCAGGACUGCUAUAAUUCUGUGUGUCUCAGAUGAUCAGUUGGUGCAUGUUCAGCAUUUAGAAAAUGCGAAAGAGGUGUGGGACACGCUGCGUACAACGCAUCAGAGAGAUGCUGGUUCUUCAGCGUUGCUGUAUUUUGAGAAAUUGACCAAUCUGAGACUUGCGCCUGAUGGAGAUGUUCAAGCGCACCUCACAGAAAUGAAGUUUCUGCGUCAACAGAUGGUGGAACGCAAUUUUCGUCUUCAGGAGGAAGUGUUUUGCUUCAUGAUGAUAAACAGCCUUAGCCGCACCUACAAGGUUGUUGCCAGUCAGCUUGGUUCCCUACCGGCCGCGCAGCUGACCGCGGAGAGAGUUUGUGCUGUGGUCCUGAAUGAACACGACAGACUUGCUGCACUGGAAGAAAAAGACAGGGGGAGGGAAGAACAGAGUUCUAAUCCCCCACUGCUGAUGCUACUGGGGAGCAUGGUGUAGCAUUGAGUGCUGUCCGAUGCUACAAUUGUGGACAGACUGGGCAUCUACAGCGAAACUGUAAGAAGCCGCGCCAGUCAAGAGGAGCAAAGAGCAGCUCUACGAAGCCUCAGGCGUCAGGCAAAAGCCGUACCAAGUGCCAGAUGAAACCUGCAAAGGCUAUGAUGGCGAAAGGAACCACGCCAGAUGUUGGGAACGCGUUCAUAAUCGACACGGGCUGUACAAAACAUUUGUGCCCGCACAGAGGACUGUUUUCGACGUUGAAGAAGCAAAGCUUCACUGUGAAACAGGCCAACGGUCAGGAGUUGGAAGCAACUGGAAUUGGGACUGUGUAUCUUGAGAGUCUGAACUUGACUAUAAAUGAUGUUUACCUGGUUCCAGAACUGAGAUUUAAUCUGCUGAGCGUGUCGCAGAUUGCAAAGAAAGGACUGAAACUGUCCUAUGAUGCUAAAAGCUGCAAGAUCUACAAAGAUGGAGAACUGUUUCUUACUGCCAAAGAGAAAGAUGGACUGUAUUUGUUGACUUUUGAUCAAAGUGAUUACAUGAAAUGUAAUUCCUCUGUUUCUAACGAAAUCUCUCUUGCAGGUGUGACCAGUGUGAAGACGAAGAAGGUCAACAGAGCAUUUCAGCGGGUGUAUGCUGAUGUGAUUGGUCCUCUAGAACCAUCUAGAGGCGGUGCACGAUUUUACCUUUUGUGUGUGGAUUGUUUCACUAAUUAUUCUUGGGUUUAUAUGAUGGAGAAACCGCAAGAAACUUUAGAAAAGUUUCAGGAGUUUUGUGACAAGGUUAAAAGUAUGCAUGAUGCUAACAUUGAUUGUCUUUUCACAGAUGAGAAGCAAGUUUUUCUGUUACAGAAGUUUCAGAAGUUCCUGGAUGGAAAAGGGAUAGACCACAAAGUGGCAGUCUCGCAAGAAGCGUGGAACAGGGGGGUCUGUGUAAAAGUGAACAAAGAAUUGCAAAAGGGGAUGAAUGCGCAAUUGCUGAGUUCACAUUUGCCACAUGAAUAUUGGGCUGAGUCGCUAGCGUCCUAUCUUCAUGUGUGGCUGAGAAAGGUCUCAACAGAGUUGGGAUGUUCUCCUUUUGAGAAGCUGUUCAAUAGAAAACCUUCUGUUGCCUAUUUUAAGGUUUUCGGGUCUCAUGUGAGAACAGAAGCUCCAGGUGGUGUAAAGAAUGCCAGAGGCAUUUUUGUGGGUUAUGAAAAGGGUCUCUACAGAGUAAUUUUGUCUGAAUCUGGUCAGGUGAUUCUCACAAAGUUCCUAGAGAGUGCUCCAAAGCAAGAGCGGAUAGUACAAACAUUUCCCACAGGUGGCGAUUAUGAUGAUGAUGAUGAUGAGUUUGAUCUUAUUGAGUUCAGUAGUACUGAUGAUGACAGCGAUAGCUCAGACAGCUCAGUUGUCACAGUCAUUGAGAGGAAAUCUCACAUAAUGACUAGACCCUCAGAAGAGGAGGAUGAACCAUUGCUUAAGCUUAGUACUGGUUCUCCAGAGAGUUCAAAGGUUGAACCAGUGAGCACAGAGGAUCAGAACCUUUUACGUAGGUCUGAGAGAGCAACGAAGGGUGUACCACCCAAGAGGUAUUCAAAGGAGUUUGCUAACCUUGCAUAUGUUGCUAUUGUAAACGACCAAGGACAGAUUGAAGCUGUGUCUGAGUCAGAGACAAAGGCACAACAGAGAGUUGUUAACCAAGGUAAUGCGAAGUCACACAACCAGAGAGGUACAUUGGUUAAACCAGUGGCGGGUAGUUCCAAGGGUGGAACUGAAACAACAGGGAAUGUUAUAAAUAUAACAACUGUUUGUUUUCUUCUCUGGAUGACGCUUUGCUCGCAGCACACAUUGAUACUUUAGGGGGAGUAUGUUACCAUAAAGCACCAAUGCUGCAGCAAGCAAAGGCUUUAGCAGCUCAGCCAGCUGCUUGUGGCUGGAAAGCCAGACAGGAUGUUUGUGACUGUUGCCAUGGGAACAAAGGGGCAGUCCAUUCUGUACUGAGCACCGGAUGUUAGCUCAGUGUGUGUGUGUCAUAUGACCCGUACUGGAUGUACUUGGGAGGAGUUUUCCUCGCUGUUGUUGAGUGCAGACAUGAUUCUCUGUACUGAUGUAAGAGGCAGAAAUAAAUGAUGUAAAUAGUUUUCUGUCUGCUUCUUUCCCCUCCCUGGGGACACCAAAGGGGAGAGAGGAAGAACGGUGUGUUCCUCUCAUACAUCUGAGAAGAAUCGCCGGACCUCGCCUGCUUAUCAGCAGAGGUUGGGAGACGCGGGGAGGUCGACAGGAAUAUCUGCCGGUGCCUACGCUUGUGGCACAUUCCUCUGACCCAGGCAGAAUUCCAACAGGCCUCACCCCUUCCUUCUUCCUGUCAGGAACUUCCUUCCAUUUGUCUCCUCUCCAUCUUUUCCUCUUUCUCCCUCCACCAUCCAUCUAUCCCUGUCCCCAUCUCCUCUCCCCUGGAACUCACCAGAUUUCUCCAAGGGUCCUGGGAGGGUAUGCUCAGAGGUUGUGGGGAGGGAUGCGGGAGACAGCCUGACCAGGCCAACCGUCCAUCUUCCUCCUUCCAUCCUGGCCAGGGUUGCAGGUUCAGUCUCAGCUAGGUUUGCAGGUUCAGCUUCCUGAGGAGCGCAGAAUCCAGAGCAAGUUGCAGCUUCCUGGGAGGGAGGGAAGAAGAAGCCAAGGGAGUCUGAGAGCCCCUGCAGGGAUUCUCCUGCCCAAGACAUUCUGCUGCCCCUGGAGAAGCCCCAACUGGGCACCCCCUUCCCAAGAGCCCCCACCCAUUUUCAAACACCUUUGGCAAUUCCUUUCACCUGCUUGUCCCAUCUCCCUCUGGCACGGUAUGCACAUUAGAAGCUUGAGAUUAAGGGACUUCCGGGGGCGGCGCGAACAGCAAUGGCGGUCCUCUUCUGAACGGGAGAGGAGGCUCCACAGACAACGGGUCGUCCGCUACGGCGAAGCGGAGACCCACUCCGGAAAACCACAGGCAGCAAGAGCCUGUGGUCUUGAGGCUCGGUGGGCGCCUUAAGCGACCCUCCAAACGCUAAAGGAACCCCGUAAGGGGCUCCGGAGCGUGGAGGGGGGUUGCGGCGCUGAGAGCUGUUUCACAGUCUGCGGAGCGAAGCCGCGCUGCUGCUGCCGGUGAGCGCUGAUCCCUUUUCCUGUCAAAAUUCGGAUUCGGACGAAAAGCAACUUAUUCGUGAGUAAAGACUGAAUCACUUGAAAUUAGAGACUUUAAAUGAAAAAUCUCAAUUUGCUUGAACUUGGCUGAAAGCGGAGAGACGUGGAAACAGGAAGUCCGUCUUCCGCUGCCAUUGAACUUGAAAAAAGCAACUAGUUGGAGGAGUGGAGGCUGAAAGAAAGAGAUUUUAAACUUUACAGAUCUAAGCAUCCACUGAACUUGCAACCUAAAGUAAAGACUCUAAGUUAAAGAUUUGGAAUUAUUACUUGCACUUGACUUUCCUCCUUUUAUUGGAUUACAAUUAAAAGGUGAAACCCAGGGUCCGGAGCUGCCUGAGCAUUGAGAGAUUGAGCUGUCAGUACUGCAGAUUUGGAUAUUGUAUAUUGGAACUUGCAACAAUCUGAGGGUAUUGAGACCUUUUAAAUUUGAAACAUUCUUUUUGGAGACAAAUAAGCACUGUCUGUAACAAAGUGACUAUUUAUCAACUCUGCUAAAUAUUUGUAUCUGAAGGUUCUUGGAUACUAAAUUAGACUCUGAAAGACAUUUUAAGCUCCCUCUAGAGGAUUGGAUUAAAACAGUGUCUUUACAUUUACAUUUACUUUCGAUUCCCUUGUUGUUUGCUUGCUCUGGGCCUUUCUAUUCCCAUGGGAAAUAACUCAGUGUGACCUUGACUGAUAGAUAACGUUGGAAUGAGUGGCACAAGAAAAAGAGGGAGAGUUAGACAAACAACUUUAACAACUCUAACCUCAGCCUCGCAGACACGCAGAUCAUCUGUACCUACUUUGCCCUCAGAAGUAGAAGUUGAAGAAGUUGCCUUGUCACAGGCAAAAGAGGGAGAGGGUGAAGCAGAGCAGUUACAAUUGGAAGAUAUGGCCUCAGGAGCAUCUGUUUCUGUUCUAGACAAAAUCUUUGAAAAAUUGGAAGCUUUGGACAAGAAAGUAGAUGUGCAAUCAGCAAAGAUUGACAAAAAUACAGAAUGUCUAAAUAAAUUAACUAUACAAGUGGUACAGAAUACACAAGCAAUUGGACAGUUAACGGAGGCCUCAGCAGAAAAUCGGAAAUUGGCUGAGGAUACCAGACAAAAAUUGGAAAAUUUAGAGCAAGAGGUAAGACCACUCACCAAACAAGUUGGGGAACAUCAGAUUUAUCUUUCUAUGAUAGAACUGCGAAAUCGUGAGAAUAAUUUGAGGAUUAGAUCACUACAAGAGGCAGAAGAAGGAAAUCUAACUGAGUUUUUGACCAAAGAAUUCUCCAAGUUCUGGAAUUUGGAAGAAAAGGACUUUAAAAUUGCGUCAGCUUUCAGACUUGGAAGAUUCACAAAGAAGGAGAGGCCCAGAGACUGUUUGAUAACAUUGAGAUCAAAGGAGGAAAGGGACAAGAUUUUGGGCCUACACUACGGAAAGUCACUGGAGGUUUUGGAUAGAAGAAUUGAAAUUUACAAAGAUAUUCCAAGACAACUGUUGGAUCUUAGAGCCGCCUACUCUGAACUUGCUAAACUACUAAGGAGCAACGCAAUUCCAUUCAGGUGGGAAUUUCCCCAAGGAAUAUCUUUUACCUUUAGAGGGAGAAAGGUCAAAAUUAGAACAUUGGAAGAGAGAGACAAAUUUUUGGCUACACACGGAGAGGACCUUCAAAAAGGAAUUGAAUUACCUUCUGGGCCUGGGGCAACGCCAGCAUCAACACCAGCACCUGGGGAACCUGAAGAUCCAGAGAAGAUACCACCCCUGGAGAAAUAACCAGAUCAAUUCAGGAUGUCUCUGCAAUUGCUGAGUUGGAAUAUUAAUGGUUGUAACAUUCCGGAAAAAAGGAAGAAAAUAUUUCACAUACUAAAAAAAGAACAAUUGGACAUUAUCUGUCUACAAGAAACACAUGUGACGAGGCUCCACAGAAAAGUGUUAAUAAAUAAAAGAUUGGGCCAGGAAUUUGUAUCGUCGGAUAAAGUCAAGAAGAGAGGCGUGGUGAUAUAUGCAAAAGAGAGCCUGUCACCCAAAUUCUUAUUUAAAGAUGAACAUGGAAGAAUUUUGGCUAUUGAGAUACAAUAUCAAGGAGAGAAACUGUUGAUAUUAGGAAUCUAUGCACCUAAUGAAGGGAAAUCGGAAUUUUACAAGAAGCUGCAGGAGACAAUGCUGGAUUAUCUGGACUACAACAACAUCAUAAUGAUGGGAGAUAUGAAUGGGGUCGUAUCAACUAACAUGGACAAGUCACAAAGUCAAAAUGUUACAAAAGACGGCAGACUACCUAAAACCUUUUUUGAAAUGAUAGACAAUAUGGAUUUGAUUGAUGUUUGGAGGACAAAGAACCCACUAGGAAGAGAGGGAACAUUCUUUUCUGAAGCCCAACUGACCUGGACAAGAAUCGACCAAAUAUGGAUUUCUAGAGGCCUGGCACCUAAGGUCAGAAAAGUGGAAAUCUGCCCAAAGACCUGUUCCGACCAUAAUGCAGUAAAGAUGGAUAUGACAUUACUACCAACUGGAUCCUUUAGAUGGAAGAUGAAUGACAAUUUGUUCAGAGAUCAGGAAAUUACUAAGAAGGCCCAAAAAGUUUUGAAGGAUUAUUUUGAGAUAAAUAUGAAUACUACGGUGGAAAAAAGAAUCGUCUGGGACGCAAGCAAAGCUGUAAUGAGGGGAUUCUUGAUACAACAGAAUGCAGUAAAGAAAAGAACACAAAAUGAGAAAAAAGAUAAGAUCUUGG